UGCAAGUCGAACGCCCCGCAAGGGGAGUGGCAGACGGGUGAGUAACGCGUGGGAACAUACCCUUUCCUGCGGAAUAGCUCCGGGAAACUGGAAUUAAUACCGCAUACGCCCUACGGGGGAAAGAUUUAUCGGGGAAGGAUUGGCCCGCGUUGGAUUAGCUAGUUGGUGGGGUAAAGGCCUACCAAGGCGACGAUCCAUAGCUGGUCUGAGAGGAUGAUCAGCCACAUUGGGACUGAGACACGGCCCAAACUCCUACGGGAGGCAGCAGUGGGGAAUAUUGGACAAUGGGCGCAAGCCUGAUCCAGCCAUGCCGCGUGAGUGAUGAAGGCCUUAGGGUUGUAAAGCUCUUUCACCGAUGAAGAUAAUGACGGUAGUCGGAGAAGAAGCCCCGGCUAACUUCGUGCCAGCAGCCGCGGUAAUACGAAGGGGGCUAGCGUUGUUCGGAAUUACUGGGCGUAAAGCGCACGUAGGCGGAUAUUUAAGUCAGGGGUGAAAUCCCGCAGCUCAACUGCGGAACUGCCUUUGAUACUGGGUAUCUUGAGUAUGGAAGAGGUAAGUGGAAUUCC
rnacentral:rRNA from 1 species